rnacentral:rRNA from 1 species
GAGGGGAGAACCCUUAAACGGCCGCGUAUAUAACCGUGCAAAGGUAGCAAAAUCAUUUGUCCCCCAAAUAGGGACCAGUAUGAACGGCAACAUGAGAAAGAAACUGUCUCCUUAGGCGAGCCAAUGAAUCUGAUCUGUCUGUACAAACGCAGGCAUAAAAAAACAAGACAAAAAGACCCUGUGAAACUUUAAAUGUCCGUCAAUCCAAUGACCAAGACAUUUUUGGUUGGGGCAACCAAAGAGAAACACAAACCUCUAAAUCUGUCUCGCGGCCAACAAGCCAACCGACCCAAAACUAGACCCAGCAUUGCUGAUCAAAGAACCAAGCUACUCCAGGGAUAACAGCGCCACAUUCUUGAAGAGUCCAUAUCAACAAGAAUACCUACGACCUCGAUGUUGGAUUAGGGCAUCCUGAUGGCGCAAAAGCUAUCAAGGGUUCGUUUGUUCAACGAUUAAAGCCCCACGUGAU